rnacentral:rRNA from 1 species
GAGUGGCGCACGGGUGAGUAACACGUAGGUAAUCUACCUUUGGGUGGGGAAUAACAGCCGGAAACGGCUGCUAAUACCGCAUAAUGCACAAAUGAUGACAGUUGUUAAAGCGGGGGAUCGAAAGACCUCGCGCCAGAAGAGGAGCCUGCGGCAGAUUAGCUAGUUGGUGGGGUAAAGGCUCACCAAGGCAACGAUCUGUAGCCGGCCUGAGAGGGCGGUCGGCCACACUGACACUGACAUACGGGUCAGACUCCUACGGGAGGCAGCAGUCGGGAAUUUUGGGCAAUGGGCGAAAGCCUGACCCAGCAACGCCGCGUGAAGGAUGAAAUCUUUCGGGAUGUAAACUUCGCAAGAAUGGGAAGAAUAAGUAGGGGAUAAUACCCUCUAUGAUGACGGUACUAUUUGUAAGCUCCGGCUAACUCCGUGCCAGCAGCCGCGGUAAUACGGGGGGAGCAAGCGUUGUUCGGAUUUACUGGGCGUAAAGGGCGCGUAGGCGGCGCAACAAGUCACUUGUGAAAUCUCCGGGCUUAACUCGGAACGGUCAAGUGAUACUGUUGUGCUAGAGUGCGGAAGGGGCAACUGGAAUUCUCGGUGUAGCGGUGAAAUGCGUAGAUAUCGAGAGGAACACCUGCGGCGAAGGCGGGUUGCUGGGCCGACAC